AUACCCAUCCCAUCUCUUCAUCCAAGCAGAGAGAUGGGGUCUCCCUAUGUUGCCCAGGCUGGUCUCGAACUCCUGGACUCAAAAGAUUCUUCUGCCUUGGCCUCCCAAAGUGCUGGGAUUACAAGCAUGAGCCACCACACCUGGCCCAGGAUUGAAAGCUGUGGAUCACACCGCUGUAGUACCCCAGCCUCUCUACUGCUCCCAGAGCACAUCCACACACUUUGAACCCUGACCUUGAAGCUCUGAUUCCUGAGUCCUAGUUGAAAGGGCCUCGCAACAACCCAUGAGAUCGGUGAUGACUGCCCCCAUUUGCCAGCUUUGCAGGGAGAGGUCAAGACCAAGACGAUCUUCAGGCCCAAGGGAGGCAGGGAGGAGGCUUGCAAAGCCCACCCCUGGGAAGAGGCCUCGCAACAACCCACGAGAUCUGUGAUGACUGCCCCCAUUUGCCAGAUGAGAAGCUGAGGCUCGGAGAUAUUGAGGAAUCUGUCGAGCGUGUUGCUCCACAGAGCUGACAGCUUCCCACAGUGUGUGAGAUGUGCCACAGCCAGGGGAGAUCUCAGGAAAAAGA
rnacentral:lncRNA from 10 species